rnacentral:rRNA from 1 species
AUUGAACGCUGGCGGCAGGCUUAACACAUGCAAGUCGAGCGGAGAUGAGGUGCUUGCACCUUAUCUUAGCGGCGGACGGGUGAGUAAUGCUUAGGAAUCUGCCUACUAGUGGGGGACAACAUUCCGAAAGGAAUGCUAAUACCGCAUACGCCCUACGGGGGAAAGCAGGGGAUCUUCGGACCUUGCGCUAAUAGAUGAGCCCAAGUCGGAUUAGCUAGUUGGUGGGGUAAAGGCCUACCAAGGCGACGAUCUGUAGCGGGUCUGAGAGGAUGAUCCGCCACACUGGGACUGAGACACGGCCCAGACUCCUACGGGAGGCAGCAGUGGGGAAUAUUGGACAAUGGGCGGAAGCCUGAUCCAGCCAUGCCGCGUGUGUGAAGAAGGCCUUUUGGUUGUAAAGCACUUUAAGCGAGGAGGAGGCUACCUGGAUUAAUACUCUAGGAUAGUGGACGUUACCCGCAGAAUAAGCACCGGCUAACUCUGUGCCAGCCGCCGCCGUAAAAC